GAUGAACGCUGGCGGCGUGCCUAAUACAUGCAAGUCGAGCGAACGGACGAGAAGCUUGCUUUUCUGAUGUUAGCGGCGGACGGGUGAGUAACACGUGGAUAACCUACCUAUAAGACUGGGAUAACUUCGGGAAACCGGGGCUAAUACCGGAUAAUAUUUUGAACCGCAUGGUUCAAAAGUGAAAGACGGUCUUGCUGUCACUUAUAGAUGGAUCCGCGCUGCAUUAGCUAGUUGGUAAGGUAACGGCUUACCAAGGCAACGAUGCAUAGCCGACCUGAGAGGGUGAUCGGCCACACUGGAACUGAGACACGGUCCAGACUCCUACGGGAGGCAGCAGUAGGGAAUCUUCCGCAAUGGGCGAAAGCCUGACGGAGCAACGCCGCGUGAGUGAUGAAGGUCUUCGGAUCGUAAAACUCUGUUAUUAGGGAAGAACAUAUGUGUAAGUAACUGUGCACAUCUUGACGGUACCUAAUCAGAAAGCCACGGCUAACUACGU
rnacentral:rRNA from 1 species